rnacentral:lncRNA from 1 species
UUUUCAGUUGGCUGGCAAUCUUUUACCUAUAGAAUGCCGCCCAGGAGUCUUCAUUUCAACUUUCACUGGUCAAGUAAAUAUAAAAGAUAACAAAUUUGAUUUGAAGGUAAAUAAAUUUAGAGCUUACAAGAAGAUAAUGAAGUUACUUCUACCAAAGAAAAACAAAUCGUUACAGAAUACUGUUAUCCAGCAUCUUAUGCCUGUGAUUCCUUGGAUAUUCCACUUUUUAUUCAAAAAUUGAACAAAGCAGGAAUAACUGGUGCAAAAGUUGAAGAAAGACCAUCAGGAUUCAUUAUUGAUCUGCAAAAUCAUGAUAUCUUAAUUCAAGUUGAAGACCAUUCAACACAUGUUAUCUCUGGUGAUGAUUACCCAGUGCGUUCUAAACUUCAUGAUUUAAUACUGGAAUGUUUAAACAAAGUGUAAAAGCCUGAAAUCAUAGAAGACUGCAAGCAAAAUAUGAAUUGUGAUUUGUUUUAUGAUGAUGCUCAAGAAUGAGAAGAUUGCAGGAAUGUAAAGUGAAUCAAUAAAAGUAUUGACGGGAACAAUGCCGCAGGGUUGCAAGAGACUGAGCAAUAUCAAAGUGAAAAACUUCAAAUGACAUUCUACAGAAUUUUAGAAAUUACAUCAAAUACAACAAUAAUUAUGAUAAACUCUAUAAAACAACAUUUGUAAAAUACAUGUUCACAUAUUUGCAUUGUAAAUUUUCAUUAAAAGAGAAUUCUUUGUACAAAUAUUUCUAUAUAUGCAUGGGUAUAUAAUAAAGUGCAUUUUUAUGGUUGA